GGGCCCGCACAAGCGGUGGAGCAUGUGGUUUAAUUCGAUGAUACGCGAGGAACCUUACCAGGGCUUAAAUGCAUAAUGACAGGGGUAGAGAUACCCUUUUCUUCGGACAUUUUGCAAGGUGCUGCAUGGUUGUCGUCAGCUCGUGCCGUGAGGUGUCAGGUUAAGUCCUAUAACGAGCGCAACCCCUGUGGUUAGUUGCCAGCGAGUAAUGUCGGGAACUCUAGCAAGACUGCCGGUGCAAACCGUGAGGAAGGUGGGGAUGACGUCAAAUCAUCACGGCCCUUACGUCCUGGGCUACACACGUGCUACAAUGGUAGGGACAGAGGGCAGCUACACAGCGAUGUGAUGCGAAUCUCAAAAAGCCUAUCGUAGUCCAGAUUGGAGUCUGCAACUCGACUCCAUGAAGUAGGAAUCGCUAGUAAUCG
rnacentral:rRNA from 1 species